UCAUUGCCACCCACAUAGCUACAUCAGGAUGGUUCAGCAUCUGAUAGAGAGAUGCUUGCUUCUUCACAUGAACUAACAACAAUGCGUCAAGGCAUUGGCACAGUACGCAAGCAUUCGGCCGUGCAUUACAAUCACAGUGUGGAGAGAGCUAGAGAAGGAGAAUAGGGACUUCUUUCGAGCAUAUGUUCAUGGUGUCUCUUCCUACAGGCCUUUCAUGGGUAGGUAAAUUCAAAGGAAGCCGAGUUUUGAAAGGAGGAAAAAGUAC